GAGACACCCUUAUGGGGCCAAGACUUGCUUCAGUGGGGCUUUGGUGCUCACUGAGUGUGCCCCCUGAGUGUGUCCCU
rnacentral:pre_miRNA from 1 species